rnacentral:rRNA from 1 species
UACAGAGGUCCCAAGCGUUGUUCGGAUUCACUGGGCGUAAAGGGUGCGUAGGUGGCGGGGUAAGUUUGAUGUGAAAGCUCCGAGCUUAACUCGGAAAUGGCAUUGAAUACUAUCUUGCUCGAGGUUUGGAGGGGGGACUGGAAUUCUCGGUGUAGCAGUGAAAUGCGUAGAUAUCAAGAGGAACACCAGUGGCGAAGGCGAGUCCCUGGACAACACCUGACACUGAGGCACGAAAGCUAGGGGAGCAAACAGG